rnacentral:rRNA from 1 species
GACGAACGCUGGCGGCGUGCUUAACACAUGCAAGUCGAACGGAAAGGCCCUGCUUUUGUGGGGUGCUCGAGUGGCGAACGGGUGAGUAACACAUGAGUAACCUGCCCUUGACUUUGGGAUAACUUCAGGAAACUGGGGCUAAUACCGGAUAGGAGCUCCUGCUGCAUGGUGGGGGUUGGAAAGUUUCGGCGGUUGGGGAUGGACUCGCGGCUUAUCAGCUUGUUGGUGGGGUAGUGGCUUACCAAGGCUUUGACGGGUAGCCGGCCUGAGAGGGUGACCGGCCACAUUGGGACUGAGAUACGGCCCAGACUCCUACGGGAGGCAGCAGUGGGGAAUAUUGCACAAUGGGCGGAAGCCUGAUGCAGCAACGCCGCGUGCGGGAUGUCGGCCUUCGGGUUGUAAACCGCUUUCGCCUGUGACGAAGCGUGAGUGACGGUAAUGGGUAAAGAAGCACCGGCUAACUACGUG